UACGUAGGGUGCAAGCGUUAAUCGGAAUUACUGGGCGUAAAGCGUGCGCAGGCGGUGAUGUAAGACAGAUGUGAAAUCCCCGGGCUCAACCUGGGAAUUGCAUUUGUGACUGCACGGCUAGAGUGUGUCAGAGGGGGUAGAAUUCCACGUGUAGCAGUGAAAUGCGUAGAGAUGUGGAGGAAUACCGAUGGCGAAGGCAGCCCCCUGGGAUAACACUGACGCUCAUGCACGAAAGCGUGGGGAGCAAACAGG
rnacentral:rRNA from 1 species